UGUCACCUGGAGACACACACACACACACACACACACACACACACACACACACACACACACACACACACACACACACACACACACACACACACACACACACACACACGGUUAAUUGAGUGUGAGUGAGUGAGCGAGUGAGUGUGUACAGUUAACUCACCCUGUGUGUUGUGUUGGAUUAUACAACGGGGGACCUAAAUCCAGCGAUCUGAUUGGUUCCCAACUGUUGUAUAAUGAGCGUAUACAUAACUGCUAUGACGCCCGAUCAUUUUGUGAAAGUUUGCAUAUCACUCCGCGCCUGGAAGUAGAAACAGUUACAAAGUAAAACAUAUGUUGGAUGAUGGGAGAGGGUGUAAAUGUUGUUACUCCGGGAGUGAGCAAGGCGAUGGAGAGACUAACGAAAGCUAAGGCACACGGCGAGUAAUCUGCUCCAUAGGAUAAAUUGCCGGCGAACCGCUCUAGCGGAGCCUUCUCUCGGAGGGACGCUAAAGUGUGUUGCAUAGCGACCGUCGAUGCAUAGCGGCAGCCAGGAGGGACUACUUUUUUGUAUUCUUUAAUAAAACGGCUAUUUUGAC